UACAGAGGGUGCGAGCGUUAAUCGGAAUUACUGGGCGUAAAGCGUGCGUAGACGGUUAUUUAAGUCGGGUGUGAAAGCCCUCGGCUCAACCGGGGAAGUGCAUCCGAAACUGGGCGACUGGAGUACCAAAGAGGGUCGCGGAAUUCCCGGUGUAGAGGUGAAAUUCGUAGAUAUCGGGAGGAACACCGGCGGCGAAGGCGGCGACCUGGUUGGAUACUGACGCUGAGGCGCGAAAGCGUGGGGAGCAAACAGG
rnacentral:rRNA from 1 species